GACGAACGCUGGCGGCGUGCUCAACACAUGCAAGUCGAACGGAAAGUGCUCAGCUUGCUGGGUGACUCGAGUGGCGAACGGGUGAGUAACGCGUGGGUGAUCUGCCCUGCACUUUGGGAUAAGCCUGGGAAACUGGGUCUAAUACCGAAUAUUCCUUGCUGGUCGCAUGGCCUGGUGGGGGAAAGCUCUUGCGGUGUGGGAUGGGCCCGCGGCCUAUCAGCUUGUUGGUGGGGUGAUGGCCUACCAAGGCGACGACGGGUAGCCGGCCUGAGAGGGUGUCCGGCCACACUGGGACUGAGAUACGGCCCAGACUCCUACGGGAGGCAGCAGUGGGGAAUAUUGCACAAUGGGCGCAAGCCUGAUGCAGCGACGCCGCGUGAGGGAUGACGGCCUUCGGGUUGUAAACCUCUUUCAAUAGGGACGAAGCGUAAGUGACGGUACCUAUAGAAGAAGCACCGGCCAACUACGUGCCAGCCGCCGCAGUAA
rnacentral:rRNA from 1 species